GAUGAACGCUGGCGGCGUGCCUAAUACAUGCAAGUCGAGCGAACGGACGCUAAGCUUGCUUCUCUGAUGUUAGCGGCGGACGGGUGAGUAACACGUGGAUAACCUACCUAUAAGACUGGGAUAACUUCGGGAAACCGGAGCUCAUACCGGAUAAUAUUUUGAACCGCAUGGUUCAAAAGUGAAAGACGGUCUUGCUGUCACUUAUAGAUGGAUCCGCGCUGCAUUAGCUAGUUGGUAAGGUAACGGCUUACCAAGGCAACGAUGCAUAGCCGACCUGAGAGGGUGAUCGGCCACACUGGAACUGAGACACGGUCCAGACUCCUACGGGAGGCAGCAGUAGGGAAUCUUCCGCAAUGGGCGAAAGCCUGACGGAGCAACGCCGCGUGAGUGAUGAAGGUCUUCGGAUCGUAAAACUCUGUUAUUAGGGAAGAACAUAUGUGUAAGUAACUGUGCACAUCUUGACGGUACCUAAUCAGAAAGCCACGGCUAACUACGUG
rnacentral:rRNA from 1 species